rnacentral:sRNA from 1 species
CUCUUAUCUGCUGAGCCAUCUCUCCAGCCCAGUGAAUUAUUUGAAAAAAAAAAAAAAGAAAAAGAAAAGGCCACAAAGUUGAGGGCUAAGGGUGUCAGAAUGGAUCUGGGAGGAGUAUGUGGAGAAUAUGCCCAGAUUGCAUUGUAUGAAAAUUUCAAAGAAUUAAUGUUUUUCAGAGACAAAGCAUUCGUGGAAACAAAAAUAAGCAGGGCUUAAGCUAUUCACAAAAAAGAACAGUUAUCAUUUUACAGGAUUAUGACACAACUUCCUUAUUAUACCCAUGUUCAGGUCCAUCUUUGUAAUGGUUAGAAAGAUCAUACCAUGAAGCAGCUUCCUGAAUGCGGAGAAAGAAGGGCGCUACCAGUCAUUUGGGAAAUAUGUUAGUGGAAUCUCCAGACCAUCAGUAAGUUACAGAGUUUAGGAGAAAGAUAGGACGUUUGAGUUCCUAGGCCUAUAUGAGGAAACCAAGGGGCACAGGGAUAGUUCACCUUCUGGGGAGUACUCUUAAUAGUUCUUGUGGGUUCAGAUCUGCACGACAGAGGAUUCAUUUGGGUAAGUCUUCUCUGGGGAGGGGUUAUUACUAGAUGGACUAUGGACUCCGUUUACCUGUGUAAAUUGCUGGUUGAGUCACUCCUCACAGCAAGGUCCUAGAAACAAUACACCUCAUUUGUCAUUUAUAAAUUUACUCAACAGACCUUACACAUCAAGAGUUGAAGCAUUAGGGAUACACAUAAUGAAAAGAAGACAGUGUAAGUGACGACGGGAGACCCGUAAAGGUGCUCAUGUGAAAGUGCUAACAGUAUGCCAAGUGUUAACAGCAAUGGAAGGGAGGAGCUAUGCUGACUCUGGCCCAGUGCACCACGAUUGAUCAGCUAGCUGAAAACAAACUGCUGAAUUGAAGAUGUUUUUUCUUUAUUGGAUGAAGAUGGAGAUGGCUAUGAGAACAUGACAGCAAAGGAAUUUGGCCCUCCCAUAUGGUCACUGGCAAUACUCAAAUUUCAGGAUAUGACCAAUGAACUGGUCACCAUUGACAUACCAGAAUUUUUACUUUGAUGGAAAGAAAAAAUAAAAGAAAACAAAAAAGGUGGAAGAAGAGGAGGAAGAGGAGGAGGAGGAGAAAGAAGAAGAAAGAAGAAAGGCUGUACCAUACAUGUUUUCUGCUUCAGUUCUUGCCUCUAUGCUUUGAGUUCUUGCCUUGGUGCCCCUCAGUGAUUGACUGUUAGGUGUGAGCCAAAAGAACUCUGCUUUUCCUGAGCUAGUUAUAGUUAGGUUUUUAUCAUAGGAACAGAAAACAAACUAGGGCAGUGUGCAUUUGAAAAUGUUUUCAUCUUGAAAGUGGUGUCAAAAAACAUUAAAACUUGAGGUGAGACAGGGUCUCUGGCUAGGGAUCAUACAAUUCAGGAUGGAACUAGGGCUCUGGCUCCAUUGGUUUAUUUUAGGACUUUAGCGAUCCCAGAGUUUACCUCAGUUCCUGGUCUUUGGCUCCAGUGGUCCCAGAGAUCACCUUGGGAUCUGGCCUUUGAUCUGAGCAUUUACCUUAGGACUCAAAUUUUGUCUACAGUGGUCUCAGAGUCUAUCUUAGAAAAGUACCUGCAGCUCCAGGGAUCCCAGAUGUCAGUACAACAAAUGUUUUGGUUUUAGUAAUUCCUAAGUUUAUCUUCAAGCCAGAAAUUUGGCUAUAGCAGCUCUAGAGUUCACCACGAGAUAGGAAUUUUGGCUAUAGAGGUCUCAGCAUUGACCAUUGUGCAAAGGCUUUGGCUCUAAAGCUCUUAGAGAUCACACAAGACUGAAGUUCUGACUCUUCUUCCCAGUCAGAAUUCAGGGUGAAACUGGCAUUUUGCCUCUAGCCCCUAGCAGAUUCACAGAGUUCAGCAUGCCACUGGGGUUUUUAUUCCAUGUGGCCACUUUGGUAAUAAGUGUGUGGUGAUCCUGUCGUUACCCUGUCUCAUCUAGGUCACCUCAGUAAAGCCAGUUUGGAGUCAACACCAAGCUUUACCAGUCUCCAUAGCUGAGAUUUGUGAAGACUCCCAGAAAAAGACACCUAGAGAGUUGGAAGAGACUCGAAAACUCUAAGUCCAAUCAACACAUACACAAAACACAAAAAGAAAAAUAAAAAAUGGCAAAAUGACCCAUCACAUCACUCAUUCCAAACUUUUAUAAUGGAAGCUAAAGUCAGUGAGAUAGAUGACAUGUCUGAGAAAGAAUUCAUGAUCAUAAAGAAGUCUCAAGGAGAUAGAUGAGUUAAGAACAUCUAUCCAAAAUUUACACAAGGGAGUCUCUAGGGAGAAUGAAAAUUUAAUAAAUUGGAGAAGAAAGUCCAAAAUAUAAAGAGAAAACUUAGCAAAGGAAUCAAAACAUUAAAAAUCAAAUAGAAAUACUAAAAGUGAAAGAAAUGCCAAUUAAAAACCACAUCAGGAAGUAUCACCAACAGACAAGACCGUGCAGAAGAGCAAACAAGGAAUGAGAAUACAAAGAGGAGACAGCUAUACAAACAGACAUAUAUAAGGAGAGAAUUAAGCAUGAACAAUAUUUCCAUGAAGUCUGAGAUUCAUUUAGGAGGGCAUGGUGUAGAAGGAGCAGAGAUAAACUCAAAAUGAAUAGAUAAUGUUUAAUGAAAUUAUAAUAGAAGUGUCUGAAACCCAGAGAAAGAAGUAGACAUCCAAACACAACAGGCAUUCAGAAUACUGAGUCAAUAUGGCUA